UACAGAGGUCUCAAGCGUUUGUUCGGAUUCAUUGGGCGUAAAGGGUGCGUAGGCGGCGCGGUAAGUCGGGUGUGAAAUCUCGGAGCUUAACUCCGAAACUGCAUUCGAUACUGCCGUGCUUGAGGACUGGAGAGGAGACUGGAAUUUACGGUGUAGCGGUGAAAUGCGUAGAUAUCGGCAGGAACACCCAGGGGGAAACCAGCCGACUGGGCAUCUGCUGACGCUGAGGUGCGGAGAGC
rnacentral:rRNA from 1 species